CUGGCCAUGCUGGGGAGCUGGGGCAGGGCCCUGUGUCAUACACAGAGCUGUGGUGAGGGGCAGAGGGACAGUCCAUGGUCAGUGCAACGCCUAAGGAGGAGAACAGGAGGCGUCUGUGCGCUGUGUGUGCGGGAGAGCGGGAGGAACCGGCCAUAAAUCCCCCAAGGCGCGAUCGCUGCGCUCCCGCCCGGCUGCCAGCGGCAGAGCCGAAGGGCUGACACUCGACAGGCUGUGGAAAAACGCGGGGUGGCAUCACACAGAGACACCAGCCCGCUGAUUGAUCUCCCAGGCGCUGCCCCCCCUCGCCCGCUCCACCCCAUGGCCUCACGAACGGAAAAAUGUCUUCAGCAGGAACCUCCCAGCUCCUCAUUCUCUAAUCUGCAGCAUCUGUGCCCAGCCCCACGCUCCUGUGGCCUCCCCAGCUCACACUCACCAGCACGUGCAGCUCGAGCUCUCCUUGCCAGGCAGGUGAGGUGGCACUGGCAGCACCAGCCUGGCCACACUGUCACGGUGUCACUGUCACUGUCACCUCAGUGCUGGGGACUCCAGCACCUGGGCAAGGGGAUGGUGCAGGGCCCCCCAUCACCAGAGCCUGCCUGCUGUUUGCUGCCCUGUACAUCCAGGCAGGUCAGCUUUGGGUUAUUUUCAUUUCUUUUUCUCUUGCCCUGUGAUUUCAGGCUGUUCCAGGGAUGAAAAAUCCGGAGCCUCCAGCUGUGCUGACAGAGCUGUGGUGCCCAGUGCUGGGCACGUGGCAGCUGUGGUGCAGAGUGGGAAUUCCAAGAAGCUUCAUCUCUGAAUACCCACCUGGGAGCCUGCUUGCCAGAAGGAGAAAUGGCACAAGAGGAAAUACAUCUUCACAGCCUCGAGAGAGGAGAAGGUUGGAAUCUGAGUCCAUAAACAGCGUUGCUGUGCAGUGAGCAAAGACAGAGCAGGUUGGGCUCUGGAGAGUGUAACCCCACCUCUGCUGCUCCCCUGCCAAUUAAAAGUAAA